AUUCCAUUUGGGUUGCUCUCGGCUCCAGGAGAUGACUUCUUCAGGUCCAUAUCACUGAGGCUGUGAGUCUCAGCUAAGGAAACACCCAUGAUUCAUUGGCAUCUCUUACCCCAGCUCUCUGCCUCUUUCUGGAUGUGACCUCUACCUCCCCACCCCAUCCAUCUAGACUGCUGUGUCUGGCCUCAGUAGCAGAGGAUGUGAUCACAGAGACUGGAUAUGCAAGAGAACCCGGGGCCGAUCCCCAGCUCCCAAGUGACAGCUCACAAGUGGCAGUAAUUUCCGCAUUACGGAAUCUAACACCCUCUUCAACCUCCUGGACACUAGGCAUGGAUGUGCUGCACACGUGAACAAGCAGACUUAAAGGGAAGGCACAUCUCGAUGUCUGCACAGUAACGAGGUCAUCAGAGAAGAUUUUUAAGAUGUGUACAGUGAGCCAUGAAGGUGAAGAAGGAUCAAGCAAACAACACCAGACCCCUUCAUGCCACAACCUUCAAUAUGACAGCUGUCACACAGAACCCUGGACGGCACUGAGUCGAACUAAAACUUCACAUCUGACAAUUUGCUCCAAGGAACUAAAAAACCUGAAAGACAAAAUUGAUCCAACAAAAUAAGCCCUAAGUUGUAAUGAUUGACCCUCUAUAAAGAGAAAC
ensembl:lncRNA